AGUGAACGCUGGCGGUAGGCCUAACACAUGCAAGUCGAACGGCAGCACAGUAAGAGCUUGCUAUUACGGGUGGCGAGUGGCGGACGGGUGAGGAAUACAUCGGAAUCUACUUUUUCGUGGGGGAUAACGUAGGGAAACUUACGCUAAUACCGCAUACGACCUACGGGUGAAAGCAGGGGAUCUUCGGACCUUGCGCGAUUGAAUGAGCCGAUGUCGGAUUAGCUAGUUGGCGGGGUAAAGGCCCACCAAGGCGACGAUCCGUAGCUGGUCUGAGAGGAUGAUCAGCCACACUGGAACUGAGACAAGGUCCAGACUCCUACGGGAGGCAGCCGUGGGGAGUGUUAGACCAUGGGCGCAAGCCUGAUCCAGCCAUACCGCGUGGGUAAAGAAGGCUUUCGGGUUGUAUAGCCCUUUUGUAGGGAAAGAAAAGCAGCAGGUUAAUACCCCGCUGUUCUGACGGUACCCAAAGAAUAAGCACCGGCUAACUUCGUG
rnacentral:rRNA from 1 species